AUACGUAGGGUGCAAGCGUUAAUCGGAAUUACUGGACGUAAAGCGUGCGCAGGCGGUUUUGUAAGACAGAGGUGAAAUCCCCGGGCUCAAACUGGGAACUGCCUUUGUGACUGCAAGGCUAGAGUACGGCAGAGGGGGGUGGAAUUCCGCGUGUAGCAGUGGAAUGCGUAGAUAUGCGGAGGAACACCGAUGGCGAAGGCAAUCCCCUGGGCCUGUACUGACGCUCAUGCACGAAAGCGUGGGGAGCAAACAGGAUUAGAUACCCUGGUAGUCCACGCCCUAAACGAUGUCAACUGGUUGUUGGGUCUUCAUUGACUCAGUAACGAAGCUAACGCGUGAAGUUGACCGCCUGGGGAGUACGGCCGCAAGGUUGAAACUCAAAUGAAUUGACGGGG
rnacentral:rRNA from 1 species